UACGGAGGAUCCAAGCGUUAUCCGGAAUCAUUGGGUUUAAAGGGUCCGUAGGCGGUUUAAUAAGUCAGUGGUGAAAGCCCAUCGCUCAACGGUGGAACGGCCAUUGAUACUGUUAAACUUGAAUUAUUAGGAAGUAACUAGAAUAUGUAGUGUAGCGGUGAAAUGCUUAGAGAUUACAUGGAACACCAAUUGCGAAGGCAGCUUGCUACCCGAAUAUUGACACUGAGGCACGAAAGCGUGGGGAUCAAACAGG
rnacentral:rRNA from 1 species